rnacentral:rRNA from 1 species
UAGGGAAUAUUGGGCAAUGGGCGCAAGCCUGACCCAGCCAUGCCGCGUGCAGGAUGAAGGCGCUCAGCGUCGUAAACUGCUUUUAUCUACGAAGAACUGUAUUCCUGCGGGAGUACCUGACGGUAGUAGAGGAAUCAGCACCGGCUAACUCCGUGCCAGCAGCCGCGGUAAUACGGAGGGUGCAAGCGUUGUCCGGAUUUAUUGGGUUUAAAGGGUGCGUAGGUGGGAUUCUAAGUCUGGUUUGAAAGCCGGUGGCUCAACCAUCGGAUGUGGCUGGAAACUGGGGUUCUUGAAUGGGUUGGCGGUAGCCGGAACGGGUCAUGUAGCGGUGAAAUGCAUAGAUAUGACCCAGAACACCGAUUGCGAAGGCAGGCUACUACGACUUGAUUGACACUGAGGCACGAGAGCCGGGGUAGCGAACAG